CCUACGGGAGGCAGCAGUGGGGAAUAUUGCGCAAUGGGCGCAAGCCUGACGCAGCGACGCCGCGUGAGGGAUGAAGGUCUUCGGAUUGUAAACCUCUGUCAGCAGGGAAGAACGGUCAGUGGGCUAAUCAGCAGUGAAUUGACGGUACCUGCAAAGGAAGCACCGGCUAACUCCGUGCCAGCAGCCGCGGUAAUACGGAGGGUGCGAGCGUUCAUCGGAAUUACUGGGCGUAAAGCGCUCGUAGGCGGUAUGUCAAGUCAUAGGUGAAAUCCCCGCGCUCAACGUGGGAACUGCAUUUGAAACUGGCAAGCUGGAGUGUGGUAGAGGGAGGUGGAAUUCCAGGUGUAGGGGUGAAAUGCGUAGAGAUCUGGAGGAACAUCGGUGGCGAAGGCGACUAUCUGGAACAUAACUGACGCUGAGGAGCGAAAGCGUGGGGAGCAAACAGGAUUAGAUACCCGAGUAGUC
rnacentral:rRNA from 1 species